rnacentral:ncRNA from 1 species
UGGGUAGCUACGUGCGGACGGGAUAAGUGCUGAAAGCAUCUAAGCAUGAAGCCCCCCUCAAGAUGAGAUUUCCCAUAGCGCAAGCUAGUAAGAUCCCUGAAAGAUGAUCAGGUUGAUAGGUCUGAGGUGGAAGCGUGGUGACACGUGCAGCUGACAGAUACUAAUCGAUCGAGGACUUAACCAA